AAAACGACCUAAUACCUCUCCAGCUAUUUAAAAAAAAAUAAAAAUGAGGAAGGCCUGUCUUCUUGCUUGUGCUCUUUUGAUCUCCUUCGCUCUUCUCUUCCUCCCUUCCACCGAAGCUCGAGCACUCCUUCAGAAAGGUCCAGUCCUCCCAGCAGGACCGGGGCCGGCAAGGUGCGGACAAAGAGG